rnacentral:rRNA from 1 species
UGGGGAAUUUUGGAAAAUGGGCGAAAGCCCGAUGCAGCAACGCCGCGUGGGCGAUGAAGGCCUUCGGGUCGUAAAGCCCUUUUUGAGGGGAUGAGGAAGGACAGUACCCUCAGAAUAAGCCUCGGCUAACUACGUGCCAGCAGCCGCGGUAAAACGUAGGAGGCGAGCGUUAUCCGGAUUUACUGGGCGUAAAGCGCGUGCAGGCGGAUUGGAGAGUUGGAUGUGAAAGCUCCCGGCUUAACUGGGAGAGGUCGUUCAAUACUUCCAGUCUUGAGUGCAGUAGAGGGAAGGGGAAUUCCGGGUGUAGUGGUGAAAUGCGUAGAUAUCCGGAGGAACACCAGUGGCGAAAGCGGCUUCCUGGACUGUAACUGACGCUCAGACGCGAAAGCUAGGGUAGCAAACG